GUGCCUUUGGGAAGGUGAGGCAAAAUUGUAUUGAGAUGUAAUAGAAAGGUUUAAGAGACCAAACACAGGUCAGUACCCUUCAAUGCCUUGUCAUUCAAUUGCCCUGAUGCAAUUCAUUUUGGUGAUACAAAUCACAACUAUUGUGUACCAAGGUCCUGGAGAAUAAAUGUUUAGGGUCUUGGAUGUGGUGCCAAUCAGUCAAGCUGCUUUGUUCUGGAGCAUGGGAUUUACUGGAGCUGCACUCAUCAUUCUAUCACAUUCCUGACUUGUAAAUGGUGGGCAGGCUUCAAGAGGUCAGAAGGACAACUUACAAUGACCAAUCAACCUACUGGCUACAUCUUUGGAAGGAAAGCGGACGACCCGGAAAAAAACCCAUGCAUUCCAUGUACAGAGACGCCUUAUAGAAUGGCACUGGAAUUGACCUCCGAACUCUGGAAUAACCUGAGCUGUAAAACCUCGCACUAACUGCUACACUACCGCGGUGCCCUGAAGCCAUGGGAUUCAUACUGAUGAUCUGGAUGUUUCUGGCCAGGAAUACCAUAGAAAAUGGUCAUUGUUUAGGUCUUGGUGCAUGCAGAAUAAUACAAUAAAAUUACCAGUGAAGCAAGUGAGUUGAAGAGAAAUAAGAAAUAUUCAAGCACUCUGGAUCCUGACUCAAGUCAACAACCCUGUCAAUGAGACUGAUUAUUCUCAGUGAGAUCUGCUUGGGAGGGCAUGUCAUUCACAUCCCUGAUGCCAUACUCGAGAAACGGACAAUCUAUUUCAACCUCUGCUGUCGGAGGGAAUUACCAGGCAGAAAGAAUAAAUGUUUCAAUGGAUGUGCUCAAAUCUUCCUUGAAGAAAUGCUGCAACCCACCAUUUCCUGGAAACUUCUGGCCACUUAAUGUGGAGGAGGUUUAUUCAGGAUGACAUUAAGAACCUCAGCGGGAAUACCCAGGAGCUCUGCACUAGCAGAGGAAAGAGCACACUACCUCACAGACUGCACACCCACCUGCCUUCAACAACUCCAUCUGUGGAAAGAGUCUCUGGUUCCCAUAUCACUCUCAUCAACCAUCUCAUAGCCCACACAUCCAGCAUGGAAGCAAGUCACCCUCAGUCCUCAGGGAUUGCCAGAUAAGAAGUGGCAUCACUCAGAGGCCAAUAAACCAAGGUCAUCCGGAUGUAUAUAAAUGAUUCCUGGUGUUACUUUAAUUAGAUUUCUCCACAAUUUAUAUGUUUAUCAUAUCAUUCAUCCAAUGUUUUUGUUAUUACAUAUCUUUGUUAUUAACAUCCUUUGCCCAUUUUUGACAUUCCAAUCAAUGUUUACUCUUCAAAAUAUUCCAUUCACUGUAAAAAGCUUUGGAAAGUCUUGCGGUUGUAAAAGACUCCAUUGAAAUAGCUCCUUCCAUUGCUUUAAAAAUAUUUCCACUAUAUAAACUGCAUUGAAAUAAAUAGAUUGGCUUACUGAAACCUCGCCCUGACCAACAAAUUAGGUUUAGCAUAUUUGUAACAGAAAAUCAUUUAAUAAAUUUGAACAAA